UACACUGUCAAUUUCAUUUGACUAAACGACGGUUUUUAAGAUUAAUCGAUUACCUUGGGAAAAGUAUACUUCGAUAAGAUCUCCAACAGUUGACAACGCGACACGCAACCGUCACUGCGAAAUUGAAGAUUAUGAGCCGCGUGCAACGUCGCAAGGUAAUUCGAAAUACUGCGAGAGACUCGUCACGAAGUCGACGACGGUGACCGUAGCUGACAGGAAGGAAAAUCACGAGGUAAUCGUGGCGCGAGCGGCAACGUACGCCAUCCACUCGUGUCGGCAGUCGGGCGUGCACUGCCUUCCUGAGUUGCCGGUUGGUUCUCGAUCCUCGACUCUGUUCGCUCGACUCGCUCGCUUGUUCGCGGCCUCCAUCCCCGUAUCGCACUACGGCCGCGAUGCUCGAUGCUACACUCCGCUACAACAUUUAUAGCAGACUUACAUGGGUUUUCGUCCAAGAAGAGAAGCUAUUGUGUCAACAAUAAUGGCUGGUAUUAUAUGAAGGAACAAA
rnacentral:lncRNA from 1 species